CCUUCCCUUAUCACUUUUCCAGCCCAGCUUUGUGACUAAAUGUUGGACGGAGAACUGAUAAGACUAGG
rnacentral:pre_miRNA from 1 species